GAAAUGCGAUAAGUAGUGUGAAUUGCAGAAUUCAGUGAAUCAUCGAAUCUUUGAACGCACAUUGCGCCCGCCAGUAUUCUGGCGGGCAUGCCUGUUCGAGCGUCAUUACAACCCUCAGGCCCCCGGGCCUGGCGUUGGGGAUCGGCGGAAGCCCCCUGCGGGCACAACGCCGUCCCCCAAAUACAGUGGCGGUCCCGCCGCAGCUUCCAUUGCGUAGUAGCUAACACCUCGCAACUGGAGAGCGGCGCGGCCACGCCGUAAAACACCCAACUUCUGAAUGUUGACCUCGAAUCAGGUAGGAAUACCCGCUGAACUUAAGC
rnacentral:misc_RNA from 1 species